GGAAUAUUGGGCAAUGGGCGAGAGCCUGACCCAGCCAUGCCGCGUGCCGGAUGAAGGCCUUCUGGGUUGUAAACGGCUUUUCUCAGGGAAGAAAAAGGGGAUGCGUCCCAAACUGACGGUACCUGAGGAAUAAGCACCGGCUAACUCCGUGCCAGCAGCCGCGGUAAUACGGAGGGUGCAAGCGUUGUCCGGAUUUAUUGGGUUUAAAGGGUGCGUAGGUGGCCCGUUAAGUCCGGGGUGAAAGCCCACAGCUCAACUGUGGAACUGCCCUGGAUACUGGCGGGCUUGAGAGUAGUCGAGGGUGGCGGAAUGGACGGUGUAGCGGUGAAAUGCAUAGAUACCGUCCAGAACCCCAAUUGCGUAGGCAGCUGCCUAGGCUACAUCUGACACUGAGGCACGAAAGCGUGGGGAGCGAACAGGAUUAGAUACCCUGGUAGUCCCACGCCGUAAACGAUGGAUACUCGUUGCCAGCGAUAGACUGUUGGUGACUUAGCGAAAGCGUUAAGUAUCCCACCUGGGGAGUACGCUCGCAAGC
rnacentral:rRNA from 1 species